rnacentral:lncRNA from 1 species
CUCCAGACUCCCAGUUUAGUGCUCUUUCUGCCACAUCUCCAGGUUCUCAUCCAGGGCAGGUGGCCUCAGCUCUGGGCUGGGCUUUGAGGCCGAGAAAGGACAUCUCCCACCUCCUUGGGGCCAGCCUCCUGCAGACGGAAAGGAAGGUUUCCUGCAGCCCAUAUCCAGCCAGAAACCUCCAGUGGCUCCCAUCUAGCUGCCUCAAGAAAUGCUUUUGAUCAUCUAAAUCCAGGGCUCAUCUGCACCCUCGUGUGGUCCCAGCAGAGAAGACGAGGCACCGAGCUUCUCAGGACUCCGUCCUCGGUAGGCUGAGCCGUGCAGCCGGCUGGUGACAGCGGGAGGACCAGACGACCUUACCCAGAGCCUCACAGGCUGCAGAGCUUUAAUUUAUUUAAUCAAUUCUGGUCCCCGGGCUGGGGAAGGAAAACGGCAGGAUAUUAAAUCUGUCGCUCUCGCCAAUCUGUCAUAGGGCUGUCAGUGCACAUUGAUUCUCCUCCUCCCGCCUUUAUUAA